rnacentral:misc_RNA from 1 species
GAUGAAGAACGCAGCGAAAUGCGAUAAGUAAUGUGAAUUGCAGAAUUCCGUGAAUCAUCGAAUCUUUGAACGCAUAUUGCGCUCUUUGGUAUUCCGAAGAGCAUGCUUGUUUGAGUAUCAGUAAACACCUCAAAGCUUUUGGAUUUUUUAAUCGAAAAGCUUUGGACUUGAGCAAUCCCAACACCAAUCUUUUUGAGAUCGGUGGCGGGUUGCUUGAAAUGCAGGUGCAGCUGGACAUUCUCCUGAGCUAAAAGCAUAUUCAUUUAGUCCCGUCAAACGGAUUAUUACUUUUGCUGCAGCUAACAUAAAGGGAGUUUGACCGUAUUGGCUGACUGAUGCAGGAUUUCACAAGGGUCGGCAACGAUUCUUGUUAAACUCGAUCUCAAAUCAAGUAAGACUACCCGCUGAACUUAAGCAUAUCAAUAAGCGGAGGA